CUUGGAGGAAUGUAUAGCAAUUGCUAAUUGUUUCAAUAAAGUAUUGAAACAAUAUCGACUUGGUCGAAUAAAAUUCUAGGUAAAACUAUGAUAAUGACAUUAUUUACCUAUGUGUCUUGACCAAAUUACGUGCCAGCAGUCGCGGUAAUACGUAGAAGACUAGUGUUAUUCAUCUUUAAUAGGUUUAAAGGGUACCUAGACGGCAAAUUAAGCCUUAGUUGGGACUGAUAUGCUAGAGUUAAAUGUGAGGGAGUUUUAAUGUACUAGAGGUGAAGAGAUGAAAUUCUGUCAUACCUUUUUUCCUUAGAAAAAACUUGGCACAGGUAAAGGUGAAGACAUCUCCUUAUGUAAUAACUGACGUUGAGGGACGAAGGCUUUUUAUCGCGAAGAGGAUUAGAUACCCUUGUAGUCAAAGCAGAAAAUGAUGAGUGUCAUAGAUUAGAGAAUUAUUUAUUCUAUAAAUGAAAGUGUAAGCACUCCACCUCAAGAGUAAUUUGGCAACAUUGGAACUGAAAUCAUUAGACCGUUUCUGAAACCAGUAGUGAAGUAUGUUGUUUAAUUUGAUAAUCCGCAAAAAACCUUACCACAACUUGAAUGUUUAUGUUAAUAACGUAGAUACAAGUGUUGCACGGCUGUCUUCAGUUAAUGUCGUGAGACUAUGGUUAGCUCCAUUAAAUUAACGUAAACCCUUGCUUUAUUUUUAAAUAAAGCAGUUC
rnacentral:rRNA from 1 species